ACGGGGUGCAGCAGGCGCGAAACCUCCACAAUGUACGAGAGUGCGAUGGGGGGAUCCCAAGUGCUAUUCUUAACGGGAUAGCUUUUCUUAAGUGUAAAAAGCUUUUGGAAUAAGAGCUGGGCAAGACCGGUGCCAGCCGCCGCGGUAAAUC
rnacentral:rRNA from 1 species